AUUUGUCUGGUUAAUUCCGAUAACGAACGAGACCUUAACCUGCUAACUAGUUUAAAUUAUUUUAUAAUUUUUAACUUCUUAGAGGGACUAUGUACAUAAAUAUAUGGAAGUUUGAGGCAAUAACAGGUCUGUGAUGCCCUUAUAUGUCCUGGGCUGCACGCGUGCUACACUGAUGUAUACAGCAAGUGCCUAACUAGAUAUGGUAUGGCAAUCUCGAAUAUGCAUCGUGAUGGGGAUAGAUCUUUGCAAUUAUAGAUCUUGAACGAGGAAUUCCUAGUAAGUGCAAGUCAUCAUCUUGCAUUGAUUAUGUCCCUGCCCUUUGUACACACCGCCCGUCGCUCCUACCGAUACCGGGUGAUCCGGUGAACCUUUUAGACCUUUCACGAGGAAAGAUAAGUAAACCAUAUCACCUAGAGGAAGGAGAAGUCGUAACAAGGUUUCCGUAGGUGAACCUGCRGAAGGAUCA
rnacentral:rRNA from 1 species